rnacentral:rRNA from 1 species
GACGAACGCUGGCGGCGUGCCUAAUACAUGCAAGUCGAACGCUUUUUCUUUCACCGGAGCUUGCUCCACCGAAAGAGAAAGAGUGGCGAACGGGUGAGUAACACGUGGGUAACCUGCCCAUCAGAAGGGGAUAACACUUGGAAACAGGUGCUAAUACCGUAUAACACUAUUUUCCGCAUGGAAGAAAGUUGAAAGGCGCUUUUGCGUCACUGAUGGAUGGACCCGCGGUGCAUUAGCUAGUUAGUGAGGUAACGGCCCACCAAGGCAACGAUGCAUAGCCGACCUGAGAGGGUGAUCGGCCACACUGGGACUGAGACACGGCCCAGACUCCUACGGGAGGCAGCAGUAGGGAAUCUUCGGCAAUGGACGAAAGUCUGACCGAGCAACGCCGCGUGAGUGAAGAAGGUUUUCGGAUCGUAAAACUCUGUUGUUAGAGAAGAACAAGGAUGAGAGUAAAAUGUCAUCCCCUGACGGAUU